rnacentral:rRNA from 1 species
UUGUCUCAAAGAUUAAGCUGGCAGCUGUCGGGAAACCAAAGCUUUUGGUUUCUGGAUGAAGUAUGGUUCCAAAGCUGAAACUUAAAGGAAUUGACAGAAGGGUACCACGAGGAGUGGAGGCUGCAGCUUAAUUUGAUUCAACACGGGAAAUCUUACCAGGCCCGGACACCGCAAAGAUUGACAGAUUGAGAGCUCUUUCUUGAUUCGGUGGGUGGUGGUGGAUGGCCGUUCUUAGUUGGUGGAGUGAUUUUUCAGGUUAAUUCCGAUAACGAACGAGACUCC